CUUUGCUUUGCAUACAGCCCAUCAGGGCCUCUGAGUCUUGACCAUCCAGUUUCAACAUCUCUUGCUAAUAGACUUUGUGUCUUGGUAUUUCCUACAGAGAGAAUCCAGUCAGCCUAGCCCCAUGGGCUGAGUUACAUUUUUUUGUGGCCGGUCAACCUAUGAAUUUGUGGCUCCUGGUCAGAUGGGUCUCCUGUCCAAUCGGCUUACCUCAGAGGGCAGAGCAUGGAUAUAACAUACGGAUAGGGCUGAACAUAAGGCAGACAUCAUGAUCGCUGGGACUAGCCAUGGCAGGGAAAAAUAUGUGACAAAUUAGUUCGGUGGAUGGAAGGAGCUAAAAUAUUUCACUAGAAGACCAAAUUAUGAAGCUGAUACUUGAGUAAGAAUACCUUCGAACCUACUUUUCAAAGCCUUUUCGGAUACAAUCUGCCGUGUGCUCCCCAUGCCCACCACGGGAGGGAGGAAGCACAGAUGUCACUGUCCUCGUUUUACAGGGCGUCCCUCAUCUGACCCUGGUCUACUGUUUAAACUUCCUAGCACAGUUCAAGAAAUGUGUCACAGACAAGCGUGCAGGCAGCAUGGUGAAACGGAAAGCAAGUUGAAUCGUGAAUCAGCAGGCUUGAGCCGGAAUCCUCGAGCAGGUUGCUCCAUUUUUCUGGACUUCUGAUUCCUUCUCCGGGACUGCCAAGGUCCUUUGUGGCUUCUUCAACUGUCUGGAGGGUCAUGAGGAACGUAGAGCCUCUGGGCUCUCAUGGAACUCUAUUUUCACUUCCAUGAGGCACUUCUGCCCAUCUGCUUUUGCUCAGAGUUGGCUGUCCAGGCAUCUGUCCCCUCCACGAGGUCAGGAGACUCUUCAGAAAAGGGACCACAUAUUUAUCAGUCACAGAAAAAUCUAACAAUGGCAGCUAUCUCCCCCCUGCUGGAAAAAACAUGAACAGAUUGAUUUCUUUUCAACUUAAGGUUUUCCUCCCAUAUACUUUUCUUAAACCUAUGGUGUCUAGUUUACGAUGGUGUCUGAUUUAGCACGCUAUAUUUUUAGUCGUCUCAGUUGACUAAUUCAGUACUUCCUGGGGUUCUGCAAAGACCGCAAUGAUUUGUUUCUCCAUCCUCUUAGCAAGCUGGAGCCACACCACUGCGAACUGCAGGCUCUUUCUCUGUAAGUCACUGGAACAUCCAAAGCUCGGACACUGUCUUUGAAGCAUUUAUUUUAAUUACACUAAGGUCUUGAAACUUCAUUUUCACAUACAGGAUUUCCAGGCAUUUACCAAGUAGACAAAGUACUGGGUUGAUAUCAUUGCACUGAUGAAAUAUUAAUAUUAUUGAUAAGGCGGGACAAUGUGGCUGACUUUAUCAGACUCAUACCAUUUGCAUGAAAAGGCUGAGUUUCUUUGGCUCUUUGUUCAUUCAAGUGCACUGAAUACCUAUUUGGAUAGACUUAGGCAUUGUGUUAAUCUGUCAAUAAAA